rnacentral:rRNA from 1 species
AUGAACGCUGGCGGCGUGCCUAAUACAUGCAGGUCGAGCGAACAGACGAGGAGCUUACUCCUCUGACGUUAGCGGCGGACGGGUGAGUAACACGUGGAUAACCUACCUAUAAGACUGGGAUAACUUCGGGAAACCGGAGCUAAUACCGGAUAAUAUAUUGAACCGCAUGGUUCAAUAGUGAAAGACGGUUUUGCUGUCACUUAUAGAUGGAUCCGCGCCGCAUUAGCUAGUUGGUAAGGUAACGGCUUACCAAGGCAACGAUGCGUAGCCGACCUGAGAGGGUGAUCGGCCACGCUGGAACUGAGACACGGUCCAGACUCCUACGGGAGGCAGCAGUAGAGAAUCUUCCGCAAUGGGCGAAAGCCUGACGGAGCAACGCCGCGUGAGUGAUGAAGGUCUUCGGAUCGUAAAACUCUGUUAUUAGGGAAGAACAAAUGUGUAAGUAACUAUGCACGUCUUGACGGUACCUAAUCAGAAAGCCACGGCGAACUACG